rnacentral:rRNA from 1 species
GAUGAACGCUAGCGGCAGGCUUAAUACAUGCAAGUCGAGGGGCAGCACAGGUAGCAAUACUGGGUGGCGACCGGCAAACGGGUGCGGAACACGUACACAACUUACCUUCUGGUGGGGGAUAGCCUUUGGAAACGGAGAUUAAUACCCCAUAUUAUAUAUGAGCUGCAUGGUUUGUAUAUUAAAGACUUAUUGCCGGAGGAUGGGUGUGCGUAUGAUUAGGUAGUUGGCGGGGUAACGGCCCACCAAGCCGACGAUCAUUAACUGGUGUGAGGGCACCACCAGACACACGGGCACUGAGAUACGGGCCCGACUCCUACGGGAGGCAGCAUUAAGGAAUAUUGGUCAAUGGACGGAAGUCUGAACCAGCCAUGCCGCGUGGAGGAUGAAGGUCCUCUGGAUUGUAAACUUCUUUUAUAGGGGGCGAAAAAAGGGAAUUCUUUCUCGUCUGACCGUACCCUAUGAAUAAGCACCGGCUAACUCCGUGCCAGCCGCCGCAGUAAUAC